rnacentral:tRNA from 1 species
UGUUCUGAGGUUUAGUUGGUUGAAGCGCCGGUCUAGCGAAUACGGAGUCGUGGGUUCGAAUCACGCCAGAACGC